CGCGGCCGUCGUGGAUCACGAGGAUCCGGAUGAUGGGGCGGCAGAGAUGGACACGGAUCUGUUACGGCGACGACGGCGCUAGAUCCACACCCGCAGCAUCAGGAUGGAGGCCGGCGACGAACCCUAGCCUAGCCGCCAGCAUCGGGAUCCAACCCCUGCUCUCGGUGCUGGGGCAAGGCAUAUGGGGGUGUUUGCUGCCGCGGUGGACCUCGACGCCGGCGACAUCUGCAGCAUCUCCCUCCCGUCGGGCUGCAGGACCAGUACGCCCAAGGUACGCCUCCUCCUCCUUCCUUUCCCCUCCCUACCAAGACUCCAGCUUGCUGAUGUGUCCAUUAGUGGCGAAUAAUCCAUCAUGGAUUAGAUUAUUUCCUACGGCAGCUUGAACUGGCCUGCAUGUUUGGUUGAGCAUAUAUACGCAGUGUGAUUAAAUCUCACUAGCAGUCUACACAACACUUGAUGGGAGUUUGAAAAUAACAGUCCAUAAUAAAGGGCCGUGGUGUCUACUAUGCUUUUCAGAAAGGUGAGUGCACUUGUGAAGCUUCCUGCAGAGUUUCACAUGAUGAGUAGGUAAAUGUGCUGCUUGUGCAUUUUCCAAGUAGUUAUAUAGGAGAGCACACAAGCAACAGACUACAUAGCUUGUGCUAAUUUCCAUGAUAAGUUUUAUCGCAUAUGAACAAGUUAUAUUGCCAGUUAAGUUAUUAAUAGAAAUUGAGUUGCUUAUCAUUGAGUAAAAGACAUUCCUUUAGAGUAUUUACAGUUUUAUACUAAUACUUUAUCAAGGUGAUAUGCUGAAGAUUUGUGAUUAUCACAGUAUGGCCUUUACAUUGCUUCUGUAUGAUCUGAACCUGUUGAGCUCAUCACAAAUACCAUAAAAAUUGGCUCUAUCCCUGAUGUCCAAUAAAAAAGGGGAACUAUAGCCUCAGAUCGAAAAAGUUUCUUUUCCUUUGUGAUUUUGCAGCGGGACUUGCUUAUGGAGACGUUCGCUCUGGGUCAAAGCUUAAGAGUACUGAUGCUUUUGACCAUUUAAUUAGUGUUUAGGGGGAGGAUUUCCACAGUAACCCUGGGCUGGUUAACCUAUUUGGAAUAGAAUUCCCUGAUUUGAAUAUCAAGCAUUCACAACUUCAGAAUACAUUGUCUCGAGGCCGGAUCAAGCGCAUCGCCGAUGCCACGAUCGCCGAUGCGCCGUGCUGCUCCUCUCAUGUGCGCCCUCGACGCUGACGCCGUCCUAUUUUCCGCAGCCACCGCCGUCGGGCUCCGCGUCCACGCGCCCCUUCAAACCUACUGGAUGCAAUCUCGCAUUGCGCUGUCGUCCGCACUGUCUGGCACCACCUAUGGACACAGAACGGCGGAUCAAGGUUUAAUGACUUUGAUCAGGCAAGAUACAUUCUGCCCGCUCAUCUCCCCGUGUUGCCGUUGGGCAGCAUCGACACCGGCCUCGAUCAGUGUCGGGGCAAUGGUGAACCAAUGAAGAAGCUUAAGGCGGCUCAGGUAGGGUGGCACACGAUAUUAACAUCGGCCACGACCAGCGUCGGAGGAUGGGUCAUUGGGAUGGAAGGAGGAAGACAAAGAGGAGGAAGAAGACGAUGAUCACCAAAUUUUACCACCGAUAAAAACAUGCGACCGAUGCAUAGUUGCUCUCAUAGUAUCUGCUAAAGAAAUUGAUAAAAGAUGAUAUAUAUUCGUAGGACUUCACUCAUGUCACUUAGUCACUGGUUUGAUUUAUUUUCCUGUAUUUUGCCCAGGCAACACACGGGCAUUGUACUAGCAACUGGCUCCAGGCCCAGCCUACAUUAGUGGGUGUGUUAUGUAUUUGCAAGGUUGUGUCCAGUAUAAGACUUGAUUCCUUGUAACCAUAAAUGUGAGCUAGGAAGAAUAAAAUUUGUGCUCUAUUGAACUUACUGUAGAGCGGAGCAAGACGAUCGAAGAGAGGGAGGGAUUACAAAUAUUUCAUUCAUGGCAGAG